AGCGAACGCUGGCGGCAGGCUUAACACAUGCAAGUCGAGCGGGCACUUCGGUGUCAGCGGCAGACGGGUGAGUAACACGUGGGAACGUGCCCUUCGGUUCGGAAUAACUCAGGGAAACUUGAGCUAAUACCGGAUACGCCCUUUGGGGGAAAGGUUUACUGCCGAAGGAUCGGCCCGCGUCUGAUUAGCUAGUUGGUGGGGUAAUGGCCUACCAAGGCGACGAUCAGUAGCUGGUCUGAGAGGAUGAUCAGCCACACUGGGACUGAGACACGGCCCAGACUCCUACGGGAGGCAGCAGUGGGGAAUAUUGGACAAUGGGCGCAAGCCUGAUCCAGCCAUGCCGCGUGAAGGAUGAAAUCCCUCGGGAUGUAAACUUCGCAAGAACGGGAAGAAUAAGUAGAAGAUAAUACCUUCUAU
rnacentral:rRNA from 1 species